UUGGGAUCGCUUUUCCCCUUUAGACUGCAACUGCAGUAUUUCUGUGUAGCUUAGUUACUUUGCAUGAGAAAAUUCCAGCUGAUGACUUUAUCUACAAGGCACAAAAUCACAUUAUACAUCAGCUGUAAAUAUUGUGAAGUCAAACAACUUUUAUUUGAUUUAUCCACAGUAGGAGAAAAGAGAAACACAUGUCUAAAGUGAUUCUUUGGAGUUAAUAUCAGAAGUGCCAGAAGAUCAUCUAAUAUGCAGUUCAUCAUGUAGUGAUUUGAACAGCAUUUGGGAGCCUCAUGUGACUUCAUUGAAGGAACACCUAUAAACAAACACUGCUUAAAGUGUUUUGCCUAUGAGCUAACAAUGUCAGUGAUGUCUACAGAGAGCUAAAGCCACUCGAAGAAUCCACAGCAACUUCUUUUGGUCAGUGAACACAGGGUGAAAUUCAACAGAACUGCUUUACAGUGAAGGUCUUGAAGCCCACAAGAAACAUUCUUCUGGACAAAUUAUCGGGAGGUCAAGAGAAGAAUGCAUUUGCCAGACCAAUAGCUGCAUAUCAAGUGCCAGAGGAUGUGGUAAAUUGCUCAAGCAAUGAAACCGGUUCUGGUACCGGAGCUGCAAUUGGCAUCACCACCUGGGACUUUGCCAACAAUGUUGAACAGAGUGGUCUAAAGGAUGGGCUUUUGCCAUGUCACUCAGGCUGGUCUCAAACUCUUGGACUUAAGUUACCCACUUGUCUUAGCCCCCCAAAGCACUGGAAUUAG
rnacentral:lncRNA from 1 species